rnacentral:lncRNA from 1 species
ACAAGCCUACACGAUAGUUUUUCCCAAACUAAACCCAAACCCCUAGCCACGUUUCCCUCUCAAAACUCGGAGGCAGAGCACAGAACACACAGCCGCGCCCCAACACAACAACCCCCCCUCCCCCGCGCCAGUCUGUUGUGAGGAGAAUAUCAGAAGCAGCAGCUCGUCUCCGCCGCUGCGUCUGGUCCAGCCCUCGCCCCCCGCAGUUCGUCCAUUCUUUCACGUUGCAACAUCGCCCUCAGGCACGCCACUGUCCACAUCAUCCGUUGCCGCACCUCUAGCCAUCACCUCUGCUGCUCGUAUUCCACUAUCAUCGCCCUCAGCUGUUUUGAUUUGCCUUAUUUCGGAUCUGUGUUUUUUAAAAUUUGUGUAUAGUGUGAAUAUCCUAAGCAGGCUAAGAGAAUGCAAUUAGCUAAAAUUUCUAAUAUCUGAGGUUUUGUAUACUUGUCUGUAUAUAUAAAUUUGUGUUUGUGAACUUUGUGUGUAUUUGUUGCAUUUUUGAAUUUUAGAGUAAAUCGGAUUCGUGCAAUAUGCAGCUAAACGGGUGUGGGAUGGAUACAGAAUGUGAAAUCUAAUAUCUAAAUGGGUUUGGGAUGAGUUUGAGUAGUGUAUUUAUUAAUGGGUAUGGGUACCCAUAGUUUCUCGGGUACCCUACCUGCUAGCAUUCCUAGUGCUUUUGAACCCAAACAGCAAAAGUAGGAUUGUGCUAAUUGCUACUCAAUGCCAUGAUUUAGAUGAUUGUAUAUCCAUAAUUUUUAAUGUAUUCCAACUGGAGUCUUUAACAAGUGUGCAACUGAUUGAUUCUUGAUAACGUUUUGAUUGUUCUUUUACUUCUAGAAAGUGCUGAUGAUAUAUUGAUAUUGCUUGAUGUUUAUACCUACUGAUGAAAUCCCAUAAUGGUUUAUUUUGGAAUUGGUAUGUCAUAACUUAUAAUCCAGAGGAGUGAUGCUUCUCUUAUUUAUCUUUUCAGAAGGCUAUUCCUCACUUGAAAAGGUGGGAAAAGAAGAAAAAGAAGAAGUAUGUUCUUAUUUUAAAAUUUCCCAUCUUUGAUAAAUUUGUAUUAUUGUUUAUUGAGUGGAAUGCUUCAAAUCAGUUACUUGUUCAACUGAGGAAGGAAAUGAGUAGGUCUGAAUUUCACUGGGUGAUAGGUUAAUUUAUCUAUUCUUUUGAAGACUUACAACUCAGUCAUGAUGGGCUACUCGAAUGUGAAGGCUUUUUGUAAUAAUUAAAAUGAAUUAUUUCUUUUGAGUGAUUGAUUUUUAUGUUAAUUAAAAGAAAAGAAAAGAAAAGAUUUCUCUAUAAUUGAAAGUAAAGAAAAUCCAACUUACUGACAGAAGAAAAGAAAAGUGAAGGAUGGGGACAUGGAAAUAAAACUAAGGUGUUUGUUAAAUCUAAGUCCCUACAUUUUACUCUAUCGUUUCUAUAAACCAACUUUGUGAUUGUAGGUUAUCUUGAUGCUCAAACAAUGCAGUCUCAUUAUAAUUCAUUUCCUUCGCAAAAUUCCAACCAAAUCCAAUCCAACAAUAGCAUUGCUCCAGUUCAGGUACAAAUGCAUCUCUCCCUUCCUGAAGGUUACAUUUUAUCUGAUUAUUGAGCUAAUUUUGUUCAUUUUUUAAUGAAACUUUUCUCACUUGUUAGGGUUUCCCAACGAAUCCUUCUCUUGUGAAUUUAUGCAACAUGUUGCAAAAUUCUAUGCCAGUUCAACCUCAAUUGGGUAUUGUCAAUCCUCAAAUUCCAAUUCCUUUCAACAAUUCCAGUACCAUUAUGCCAAAUAUGCCACCUUUGAUCAUCCAGCAACCUGGCUUUGUUAAUCAACUGGGUAUACCUCAAAUGGGUUUUGCUCCACAAACCAAUAUGAAUGCCAUCCCAAUGUUUGUGAAUCAACUGAUCCCAGGUCAACCUCAAGGCCAACCAUUUGCCUUUAAUUUGCCUCAGCAGCACCAUCAUAAUAUGGUCUUCCCCAGUCUGCAAAAUAUAAUGCAAAAUCUGAACCCCAUAGUGCCCAUGCAAAUGCCAAAUCCUUCUCAAGCAGAUGGUCCUCAAAAUCCCAGCUUGUUUGCAAAUUCAUUGUUUGUUGGGCAGCAAGGCAAUCUGAAUCAGCAAAAUUUUGUGGAGGAUAAGAGAACUCAGCAAUUACAAGGGAGCUUGCUCACGAUGCCAAAAACUCAAAACUCAAGACCCUCUACUUCAUCCUGUCGGCUGGUAACGACUUUGAAUUUCAACUAGAGCACUAGUUAACACCCUAUAUAUAUAUAUAUAUAUAUACAUAUACAUAUAUAUUAUUUCUUGAGUGGCUUUCUUGAAGAGGUGUCACUUUUAGCUUUUUUUUUGUCUAUAAUCCAUAUGAUAUGUCAUAAAUGGAAAAAAUAUGGUAGUUCAUGUCAAUGCAAUAAUGCUAGUUUGAUUCUUUUAUGAGGGGCAUGCUAUGGUUUGCUUCCAUUCUACGUCUCUAUCAUUGAAGUUGGUUCUAUCUUCCACCUACUAGAGCUUUAUUGCAACUAAAUUGGGAUUCACAAUUUGUUUUCUUUAACUAGUUUGCUAAAUUCUUUAUCUUGCUUACUACAUUUAAUCUGCAGCAAAUUCUUCAUCUGUGACUAACUGGAGAUGGGUUGGUGUAGCUCUUGAUGUUAGUUCAGUUGUCAUUUCAAUCCUGUGUUGGUAGUGGUGCUAAUAGCAUUAUUAUGCACAAGAUAAUUUGAUUCAUUUCAAUUGUCAUUACUGCUGUCAUCCCAGGUUAACGCUAGUAUUGGGGGAAACAACUUUUCUUGAAUUCAAGAUCUUCCAAUUAAUUACUGAGUCUCCAUUUAAUUGAAUCUUUUGCUUCCUAAAAUGUACUUCCACUAAUUUUCAUUUUACUUAAAAGCAAGUGUAAUGCUAAGAACAAUUGCUUGGUCGAUAUAUGAAUUUUGUUUCACAUUUGAAAAAGCAAGAAGGCAACAAUAACAAGGAAUUACAAUCUAACCAAAUUUCCUUAAGACUAUUAUCACUGCUUCUCAUUACUAAUUGUUUUUGCAAUUGUUGGUGCAUUUAAAUUUCAAUCUUGUUGCAGGGUGUUCCUGUUAAUGUUGGCCCAAAUAAUCAUUCAACUUCCAAUUGGAAAAACUUUCCAAGUAAAGACUUCAAAAAGAAUCCGAGGAAAGAGGCGUCAAAAAUGGGGUAGGUACUUAUAUCUUGCUUUUGGCUUCUGUUCUACUAAUAGAUUGGGGCAUGUGCCUUAUAACCAUGUUAAAUUCGAUUUUGCAGAUAUCAGAAGUCCCAAUUCCAUCUUAUGAAUAAUGGAAAGAGAAAGUUUGUGUUAUCUAAUGAACACAAGGGAAAAGGUUUUGCGAGCUUACUCUUUAGUAAAAAAAAAUUAAUGUUUAAUAAGAAUGUGAUGUACCAAGUAAAGACAUUACAACAUCUAUAGUACAAGUCCUUUCAACAUGCUUUUCUUUUUUCUUUCCUGUUAUAUUUGUAGUUGUAUUCCUUAUAAACAUUGAAUGAGACCUCACAUUUCAUAGAUGUUGACCAUUGCAUGGUGAUCAUAAUGAAAUUUGACAUGUUUGCUAUAUCUGAGGUGCAUGUUGGAUCUACUAAUUGGUCAAAUCUUCUAAUCAGAUUCUUAUCUUGGAUUCUGUUAUUACCUAUUUCAAUUGUAAAACCUAUUUUCAAUUGUAAAAUGGAUCUUUUUAAAUACAUUGUAGAUGCCUAUUGGUUCUCACAAAUUGAGCUAGAGAAUCUCUCUCUUUUCUAUGUAUGCUUUGGCUUUUACAGUAGAAUUACAAGUUAAUAGACCUCAAAGAAUCAAGGAACUCUGAAACCUUGAAAACUGUCACAAGUUUGUUUUUUAAUUGUUCAAAUAUGCCUAUCUGUGGUACACUCACUUUACCUUUUAUCUUUAUGGCUUUUUGCAUGUUUCUACAUCUCUCUAGAUUUAAGGGGUAGAGGCUGAAAAGCCUAAGCACAUAUAAAUAUCUUGUGAUAUGUUUGAUUGGGGAUUAUCAUAUUUUAAUUUUUACCUUUUUCCUGCAAAUUUAAUAGGUUUUGGCUAUGAGAGGACAACUAAAUAUGGUCGCACUAAUCCUAUUGAGAAGACGAGGGAAAACAAAAGGUACUUUCUGCUUUACCCCUGCCUUUUAAAAUAUACGGUGUUACUAAUUAAGGAAAAAACUUGCAUUUCCCAUAUCUCUUAUUGUCACUCAAGCUUCUUUAUAAAAUGUAAAUAAUUCAUUAUGUGUUGUGAAAUAGGCUAUUUGUAUGUUUGCAUGGAAAAAGGGGUGACUCAAUGGUCGCCCCUACAUGGUUGGAGAUGGCCUGAAUUUGAAAAUGCUUUUAUUUUUGUUUUAGCUUGUCUACUCAAUUUUCUAUCUAAGAAGUAACCACAACACCUUUGUUGAUUAAAAGAAAAGUUAAUUGGCUAGGAAAUAUGUCCUCUUUUGUGAACAAUAGUGAAAAUUCAUGUUGUGGAAUGGAUUAAUCCAAAAAGCCAUUUGUUUCCAAUUUGCAUGUAGUUUUUAAAUUAGUUUGGAUAUAAAUAUAAUGGUUGUUGCUCUUUCAUAAGCUUCUUUAUGUUGGUUUACAAUUUCGAUAAUUGAUAUUUUUUAACAAGUAUCAUUGAAGUAAUUUUGGCAAAAAUCCACGAUUACAUGGUAUUAUAUAGCUCGAAUGCCAAUCUUGAUGGAUAUACAUUGGGCUCAGUCCUAUCCUCAAACCUUCAACAAAGCUGGUUUUCCCUUCCAAAAUAGACAUAUGGAAGUUCUUAUUCCUUGUAAGAGAAGGAAAAAGGAAAUGUAAAAUAAAAAAAUAAAAAAAAGAGAAAAGCUAUACCAUUUGCUCAUGAAAAAGAAAAAAGUUGUGGUUGUCACAUUUUCCUACUAAUCAUCGAUCUUUAUACCUAAAACUAAUGUGAUUAUUGUCAUGAUUUAGCAUAUAUUAAUUUGUUUUUGUGCAUUAUGAAUUUUUUGCAACUCUGUUCUCCAUGGUCUUUUUUAUGGGAAAUUUACUAUUUAGCCCCUAUAUUAUGGAGAAACUUAUUGGUAGGGCUCUUGGUUUUUGAAAAAUAUAAUAAAACACCUCUAAUGUUUUAAAAAGUUUACUAAUAAAUAUUUAACUAUUUAGUCCUAUUUUUGGAAAAACUCAUUAGUUAGUCGCUCAAUUUUACAAAAAAUCUACUAAUUAGUUUCUCUGAAUCGAUGAUAUUUUAAACUUUUUAAAAAGAUUAUACGGUUAAAAUUAACUAGGGGUGAGCAUUCGGUCGGUUCGGUUUUAAACUGAACCGAAUAAACCGAAAACCGAAAUUUUAUUGUUUAUGAAAACCGAACCGAAUCGAUUUUGGUCAGAAACCGAAUCGAACUGAACCGGUCUGAUUCUGUUCGAUUCGGUUCGGUUUGAUCGGUUUCGAUUUUUAAUAAUUUUUUAUUUUUUAGACUUUAUUUUUAAUAUUUUAAAAUUUAAUUAAAAUAUUUUAAUCUUAAUAUGAUUUAAUUUCUCUAUAUUAUUAAAAAAAUAUAUUAUUAUCGCUAAUCGGUUCGGUUCGGUUUUUUCGGUUUUUUUCUGAUCAAAACCGAACCGAACCGAAAUAACUGAAAUUUUUGAAAUUAAAAACCGAACUGAACCGAAAUGUAUAAAAAACCGAAUCAAAUUUUUAAAUCGGUUCGGUUCGGUUGGUUUUUUCGGUUUGAACCGAAUACUGCUCACCCCUAAAAAUUAACGAAGGACUAAUUAGUAGAUUUUUUAAAAAUCAGUAAUAUUUUAUUAUAUUUUUUAAAAUCGUGAGACUAAUUAAUGAGUUUUCUAUAUUAUAUAGAGACUAAAUAAUAAAUUUCAUUUUGUUUAUAUAUUGUUUCUCUUAAUGCUGUAAUUAAUGUUGUAACUUUUUUUCUUGAACAUGAGAAGGUCUCUUGCUUUGAUCUAUACUGAACAAGAAAUCAAACAAUGGCGUGAAGAACGAAGGAAGAAUUACCCGUCAAAUGCAAAUAUUGAGAAGGUUUGAUUUACAAUUGUACCUGCCUACCCUAUUAUCUUUAUUCAAACAAUUGUCAUGAUGGUUGACUUUACCUUCGGCAGAAGCGCAAUGGAAGACUAACUAACCAUGGGGUUUUCGAUACAGAGGCCAAACAACGUCGAGAGGUAUUUUGCAUAUGCAUCCAUAUAUUUUUGUGAUAAUAGUUGUAAACAUAUUUCUUAGAAUGCGAUACCCUUAGGUAUUUGUUAUGGUUUUGCAACAUGGUAUGCCAUUUAAUUAAAUAUAUCUAGUGGUUAUACUUGGUUCACCAAUUUGGAUUUAUGUAUAUGUUUCGGUAUGUGAAUAGAAGUCCGCUUGUUGUCGUAAUUAGUUUCACAUGCCACUCCUAAAAGGAUAAGAAAAUCUUGGUCAUGUUCAACUUAGUUUAGGACUUCUAAAAGAACAUAAACACUAUUGCCUUAAUUUUGGGCUAAAAAUAAGGAAGAGAGAUUCAAGCAAAAUCCAAUUAUUCCAAGAAACAAAAUAUGCCCAGCUUAGUGGCUUGUCAACUCUUCUCUUCAUAUGAGAGAAUCUUGUUAGUUAAUGAUUGCCAAUUUGAGUUGUAACCAAUAUAGACUCAUAAAAGAUGGAAAAAAAGAAAAAUCUCCCAUACAUAAGUUUUCAAAAGAGAAUAAUUCCUGGCUGAAAUGGACCUGCGAAUUUUGAGGAAAAAAGGUUGUCUUCUUUCCUUCAAGUCUCCAACAUUUCACAAUGAUUUGGGUUGAACUUCUUCAUUUGGGCUCGGCCUUCUUCACCUUAUGUAGUUUCACUAUUUUCAUCCAGCCCAUGCAUCCAUGACCUUGCAUUCAUCAUGUUUCUUCUACCAAAUGUAAUUGUGAUUGACACACUUUAAAUGAUGCCUAAACAUGGGCUAUGUUGUGGCACAUCAUGAAAAGAGAAUAACAAAAAAAAUAAAAAUAAAAAAAAGGAAUUUACUGCACUUGGUACAAUAGCAAAAGAAGCGAAGAGAGAUAGAGGAAGGGAGAAAAAAGGAGAGAAAGAGUGAGAAAGGAGACACAUACUUGCUUUCAGGAGAGAUAGAAAGAGGAAAAAAGGCAUGUAUUUGAUGCAGUUGCCUUUUGAAAUGGAAUGGGAGAAGGGCUAGGCUUUGUUCAAAAGGAAAAAAAAAGGGGGGAUAUUUAGCCAUUAUUUGAGUGAGGCCUCUAGCGGCUGCCUCCCAUGUGCACCUCAACCUUUUGAUGUUAGUUUUGUCCAUGUUUAAUGUUUUGUGAGAUGGAGACCCAUUUUAUUGUCAUAAUUAUAACGUUGGCAUUAAAUGAAGUAAGAAAGAUGGACCCUUGGGGAGAACUAAUGCGAAGCAUAAUAUAAUUGUGGAUAUUUCUUUCCAAAAAAUGAGUUAUUAAUCUUAUAUAAGUACACAUAGAAAAAUGAACAAAAAUAUCGUGUUUUUUACUCAUGGUUUCAUGCAUUUUUCCUCUUUGCUUUCCUAUUACAUCUUCCUCUUCCUUGAUGACACUACAAUAACUACAAGGAAUUCCAAACCCCUUGCCCAAAUCUCACCACCAUAGACCAUAAUCCUAUUUUCACUAGAGAGACAUCACUGUUAACAAAUCAAAUGACACAUGCACUCAAAUAUCCUACCCGACAAAUAGGUGAGUGUUCCUCCAUAUUUCUCUUAUUAUUUGGUUCCAUGGAGGGUUCAUCUUAACCUAUUUCCAUGAGUCUUAUGCGAACAUUGCUUUUGAGCUUGAUGUUUUUCUCGUCUAUGCUAAGUAUUCUUAUGAUCUCAAGCACAAUCUAUUAGUAGCCUAAUAUCUUGUUAUGGACAUGUAGCAUCGAGUGAAAACCUAGAUGAGUGAUUUUGGGGAUUUAUUUAUAGUAACGAUUGUUUCCUUGUAAGUUGCUCUAUCAUAGAGACAUGUGACAUGACUUUUUUUUGGCACCCUUUAUAUAAAAACACCUUGAAGUGCUGGGUUAAACUUGUUAUAAAAACAUGUCAUUAAUGGGUUAGUGAGUCAAUAUGUGACAUGACUAUUAUUUUUGUGUCAUAAUUGGGUUGCCAGGAAUAUGAUAAGCUUAGCAAAACCCACAAAGUUCAUGUUGAUUUUGUGUUGUGUGAAUAUUGUCGCCCUAGAAAUGUUUCUUUGAUAAGUUAGUUUUCAUUUUUGUGUUGGUUUGAUGAAGAUUUAAUCUCUCUCUCUCUCUCUCUCUCUCUCUCUCUCCCUUUUUCCUGUGGGUCUUUCUCUAGUUUCAUGAUUAGAUUUUUCUUUGCUUUCUAGCUCCCAUUGAAGCAUUGCUAAAACUUAUCUCUUUAUUAGUAAUAAUGGGAAUACAUAGAAGGGAGAGAGGAAGAUGGGGAGAAAUCAGAGCAAGAAAGUGCAAAGAGAAUAGAGAAUUUUGGGAAAGAAAAGAGAGAAGUGUCUUCAUGUCAUUUUAUUUUCAACUGAGAGGGAGGAGAAAACACGAUUGUUUUGGCUGAGUCCGCUAAUAAUUCAAAAUAAAUAAACAUAAGUCUAGCAUGAGUAUUGCAUUAAUUUCUGGCCUUAAGUUUGGCCAGAAUUUGGUGAUCAUGGCCUAUUGCUGCCGUAAUUAAAGUUAAAUGAUUUAUAAAAUAUAGUGAAAAUUUAUUGAUUGAUUAAUGGCAAUUUCAAUAACGUACCCUAUAUUUUUAUUGAAAGCGUGAUUUAAUAUUUCCACUGGAAAAACUGCUAAAUAUGGGAGUUAUUUAUUUACUGACUACUAGUUUCUUUUUCAACUCCAAGUCAUAUUUUGACUUAAUAUAUCUGUUGGAAACCUUGUCUGCAGCAACUCAAGGAGAUUUUAGCAAAGCAGGCUGAGUUGGGAGUUGAAGUUGCAGAAAUACCAUCACACUACUUGUCAGAUUCAGAGAAACAAGUAAAUGAAAGGCAAGAUAAUGGAAGGUUUCCCAGUAAGAAAGGUAGACCCUUAAACAAGCAUGACAGAAGAGGAAGAUUUAACAAAAAUGACCGAUUUGUGAAGCAGAAAACAUUAGAAAACAAGGAUUCAUCUAAUACAUUUUCCUUAAACCAAAAGAAGCCAACACUUCUACAGAAGCUUUUGAGUGCAGAUAUAAGGAGAGAUAAGCACCACUUGUUGCAGGUUUUUAGGUUGAUGGCCAUAAACUCUUUCUUUGAGGAUUGGCCGGAAAAGCCUUUGAGAUUUCCUUUGGUGGUAGUCAAGGAAGAUGGUAGGGUGGACAAUCAGCUGGUAGCAGAAAAUUCCUCAUGUACUGGGAAAGAUGUUGAUGGUGAUAAACAAGAUGAAAAAGUGGAGCAAGGGAAAUGUUAUGCUGGGGGAAAAUGUAGCCUUGUUCAGGAAAUUGACAGAACUGAAGGAGAGGAGGGAGAAAUCAUUGACUAGGAUUGCUUGUCUUGUUCCUAUAGGCUUGCAAAAACUAUUUCUUCCUGUAUUUGUUAUUUUACCUCAAGUUUGGACGCAGUUUUUCAACUAUGUGAAUUGGGUUGAUAAAAAGUUCUCUACUUUUUCUUCUUUAUUUAUUUUUUGAGUAGGGAAUUAGGGGAAGUGACAUGUUUGGCAAAUUUCAAUUUAUUUAACUUUAAAGAGUUAUUUUCCCCUUUUGCCGCAUUCAUUAAAUUAUACCUUUAAAGCAUAAAAGAAACAAUAUAACAUAAUAUAAUUAAAAUCUUUAUGUAACUGAAUUAGGAGUUUAUGGAUUGGUUUGGAUAUUUUAUUAAAUUUAUAUAAUUUUUUUUUUGUUAAUUUUAUUGGUUAACGAAUAAAUAAUUAUUUUAUAUUCAAUUAUAUAUUUUAAAUUCUAAUUUUACUUCUCUUCUUAGUUUUUUUUUUUAGUUUUACUAUAAUACUUAUUAAUUUUUUUUAUUUCUAUUAAUAUUAGGAUGUAAUAUCUUAAUUUAAUUAUUUUAUUUUUAUUUUUUAAUUUUUAAAAAAUAAAAAAUUAACUAUAUCUGCAGUAUAUUUUGAAAAUAUAUUAUUUUAUUUUUCUGCAAUUAUUUCAGAUGCAAUAAUUUUUUAAUUUCUAUAAAAUUAAAAUUAAUUACAUUUAUGCAAAAAUAAAUUAAUAUGUAUUAAUUAUUUUAAUUUUUAAUUUAUAGAAAAUUUAAAGUAACUACAUUUAAAAAAAAGAAUUAAAAUAAUACGUAAAAUAUAUUUUAUUUUUUAAUUUCUAUAAAAUUAAAUUAGUCAGAAUUUUGAAAAUAAUUAAAAUAAUAUGCAGAAACUAUUUUAAUUUUUUUAUUUAUUUUUUUUAAUUUUUGAAAAAUUAAAAUUAAAGUUAUAAUUUUUAUUUUGAAAUUAAGUUGUUUUAUUUUAUAAGAUCUAAAAGUGUAUAAUUUAUAAAAUUAAUUAAAUAUUUUUUCUUCAUUAUUAAUUAAAAUGUAAUAUAUAAAUUUAAUUAUUUUAUUUUCAUUUAAUUAUUUUUAUUUAAUUUUUUAUAAUACUUUUUCAAUUUAUAUUUUUCAUUUUUUUUAUUAUAUUAGCAUAUUUACAGUUGAGACCUUAACGAUUUUUUAUUAUAUUCAUAAUUAGUAUACCAUAACUAGUAAAUUAAUUUUAAUAGUUGAUGGAUGUAAAAUUAGUAAAUGGUUUGAAUGGUUAACCAAUGAAAAAAUAUAUGGAUUGGGUUGAAUUUGAUUAAAAAAUAACUAUUUAUGAUGGAUGAGAAUGAUUUCAAUUCAAAUUUUAUUCAAAUAGACUAUUGAAUACUCUUAAACCAAAAAAUAAAAAAAAGAUAAAAAUGAAAGUGAGAAUUUUUUUUUUUCAAAAGUUUUUUUUCUCAUUAUAAAUUUAGAAAAAUAUGAAAGAAUUGUCUUUUUAAGUUGAAUAUGUUAUAAACGGGGUAUUUUGACGGUUAUGUUCUAAAGGGAAAAACAAAACCUAUGUAGAGUAGAGAAAAUAAUAUGCAGUUCGAUGUGUAUUCAAAUAUCAUAGAGAUAGGAAGUAAUAGAUUUGUUAUUGCCCGGUGAACUAACCUCAACAUCCGUUAAUUAAUAAUGAUUGUUAUGUGAUUUUUUUUAUAAAUCAUGCAAAAAUAUAUCUCAAAUUAUACUAUAGCAACAAUUUUUUUCUAUUCAAAUGGUCAAUAAAUUCAUUCGCUUUUUUUCUCAGCAAAGAAAAACUUGUUUAACAUUAUUAAUGCCGGACAAGUUUGUCAGUUUUCAUCGCUGAUGUGUCGCGGGAUACGAUGGCUCCGUCUAAUACUAAAUGUGUCAAGACAAGUUACAUUACCCACGAGUGCAAAGAAUCUCCGCACCUUUGAAGGGUCCAUCAGUGCCUGAAGAUGUAAUUGACCCGUCGAUUGACGAGUCAAUCACGAGAUAGUGUCUGACACCUAUAGUGACACUUUAUUGCAUGCAGGCGCUUACAUGCAGAAAUCAAUUAUGAGAAAUCGUCUAGCAUUUACAGUGCCAAACGCUUUGUUGCAUGUACAGAGAGCUCUCUGCAUGCACAUACUCUAACCUAGUUAAAGUUCAACUUUGGCUUUAAAAGGCUCAAAGUUCCCUCUUCCCACAUUCUUCUCUUCUUCUUAAGGCCAAUGUUUCUUCUUCCCACACUCUACUCUUCUCUUCUUCUUCCUCAUUUGCUGUGAAAAGUAUUAUUCACCAUAAAUUUUUAACAUUUCUCUUCUAUUUUUUUCUCUAAUAUACUCUAAAUUUAUAGACUUCUUCAAUUUAUUUCAUCUUAUUAUUGGAAUAUCUAAGACUCUCUCCUUUUUUUAAAAUAUAUAUAUAUAUAAUUUAAAAAAAUAUGUAUGUUUAUUUUUUUAGAUAUAUAGAAAUAAGAUUUAGUUGUGUUUGGCUAAUCCCUUUUGAUACAUAUCUUUAUGAACCGUUUUAAUGUUAAUGUGUUGUAAACCAAGCUUGAUGUAUGUAAUGUUGAUCCAACUAGGGCAUUUUUUGUUAUAAGUUUUAAUUUAUAAAAAUAAAACUUUCGAGGAUAUUUUUAUCACUUAAGGAAAUAAUUAUAUUUGGAUAACAUUCAAAAGAGAUCGGACCAUUACACAAACUAGACUCAACAAAACUAAGCAAUGAAUUUCGGAAAUCAUAAAACCUUACAUCCUUAAGAAUUGCUAAGAUAUAAGUGUUUAGACCUUCUUUAGUUAAUGGCUUUACUCCUACUUGGACUAAAUUUAUGUAAAUAUAUUUAUAAUUUUUUGCUUUGUGUCUGCUCAAGGAGGACUGUGUUAAAAGUUCCAUAAUCUUAAAAGGUUGUGAUAUGGAUGUCUCUUUCUUCUAUUUUAAUGGUAUAAUUAGUUUUGCUAAAAAUCUUUACUUUACUUUCUUUGUAAAUUUGAAUUCUGGACUUUAAGGAUUUUCCGAUUAUCAAUAUAUUUUUCAAAAUCUUCUAUUAUUAAUUCUUCAUUAUUGACUAUCUCUUUCCUUGCACUAGAGGUCGAAGAGCUAAAAAUAGAGAGACUUCUACAAAAUAUAUCCAUGAUUUAGAUGCUUAAUCAAUUCAUUUCCUAUAGUGGGAUGAGUUCUCUAAAUUUAUAAACUCUCUACCAAAUCCUAUACCGAAUAAAACUUACCUUCAAAAAGUCUCAUGACAAUAAAGAUUAAACAAAUCAAAUUACAAAUAUAUUUAACUACAAUCUCUCUAUUUUAAUCAUAGUAGAAUUCUUCAACUUCUACAUGACUCGUUAAAAAAUUUAAGGCCCUGAACAUAGGAGCACACUCUUAUUAUUCAAAAGGUGAAAGCCCAAAUUAGAGAAAUUUCUUGCUUACAUCUAAUUGAUCCUAAUGCUUCCAAAAUUGUUGAAAUAAAUGCCUUUAAGUUAUUUAUUGUGGUAUUCUAAAAUAAAAAAAAAAACAUAAUAAAAACAAUCAAAUAAACCCUAGAAUUCAAAUAGCAACAAGCCACCCUACUCUUAAAUCCAAAUCUUAGGAAAUCAUGAUAAAAAAAUGCCAUUCAUAAACUCAAGAAAAAUCAUGCAUUAGAUAUGAAUACCAUAUGAAGAGUGAUCCACCUCUGUGGGAUAUUUAUCUUUUACUUGCUUAAUAAAGAGGAAGAGUAAUAUGACAAAUCUAGGAAAGGAAAAGAAUAGGUAAAUGUAUCUAAAGCUCAUAGCAACAUGGGAGGCAAGUGGACUUGGCAUGGCAUGAAAGCGAGUCUUAAUGGAAAGAAAGACUGUGCUUAUCAGGGGCGGAGGGAGGGUACGACAAGGGGGGGCACGUGCCGUACCGGCGACCAAAAAAUACUUUGAAGGGGGAUGAAGGUGCCACAGCGGGUAACCGGUGGUGCCGCAGCAGUGCAGUUGCAGCCGGUGGUGGUGCCCUACCAAAGGGAAACUCCUGGCUCCGCCACUUAUGUAGAAAGAAAAAAAAGAAAGAAGAAAAGAAGAAAGGAGAGAGCCAUGGACUUAUCUUUGCUAUUUGGUUUGAUAGAGUUAAGGAUGGUGGAGAUAAAUGAAAAACGAAAUUGGUUUAAGCAUCUAUAAAAAGAUAAAGAUAAUAAAUAUACAUAUAUAAAGAAAAUAAUAUAGUUUUAUAAAUUAGGCAAUUUGGCUUUUUCCUGUUUUUUUUUUUAAAUAUAAUCAAAUCGAAAAAUAAAAUUAUUUAAAAUGUAAAAUUGAACUAAAUUGUUUAUAUUAAAAAAAAAACUAAAUUGAUUGAAUCAAAUUAGUUUGAUUUAUUUCGAUUCUUCAAUUAAAAUAUAGAAAUAUACAAGUCUGAUAAUUUAAUGAUUAUGUGUUAUCACGUUGUUACUUUUAUUUAAAUAGAUCUCAAUAAUAAUUAAUAAUUUUAAAAUUUAAUGAAUAAUUUUUGGGUCUAAUUAAUGAAAAUUAAGAGCAAAAUGUAUUUAAUUGAACAGAAAUUUUUUUUUUAAAAAUUAUUAUAAAGGAAACAAGAAAAAUAAGGGCAAAAGAAAAAAAAGAAAAAAGAAAAACCAAAGCAAACGCAAAAACGACAUGCCAUGAAUUGUUUGUUUUCCACAGAGUCUGGUUCCUUUACUCUUCCAAACAGUUUCUUAAAUACCGAAAUUGCCCUUCUGUGGAAGGGAAACCCCCUCCUUUUUCUACACCCAUCAGCUUACGUUGCAGAGCUCCUUCUCUUCCUUCCUCUCCUCAAAUUUCUACUUUGCAGCUUUCCCAAAUUCCUCGAUCGGUCGGCCUCUUUUACCAUCAAUGACUCUGAUGACUCCUCCACCAUUAGAUGUAAUCACCAUAAGUCCUUGCUCCUUUAUCUGAUCACACUCGCUGUAGCUCUCUCUCUCGCGUUUAUUUGUAUUGAAUUCAAUUUUCAUUUCGAAGUAUUUGCUUUUACUAUUUCGAUGCAUGGUUGUUUAAUUUAACCAAAAAAAUUCUCCAUUUCUGCCCGCCUGUGCUUAGCUCUUAGGGUUUCGAUCAGCAGAUCCAAGCUCUUGCAUUGACUGUGUUUUUUUACCUCAUUUUUGAAAAUUUUUUUAGCAGCACGAGGACGAUGAGAUGCUGGUGCCACACAACGACUUAGCUGAUGGUCCUCAGCCUAUGGAAGGUACAUUUGUUCCUGUUCCAAGUAAUACUGAUUGACUGGAAGAAAUUGGAAAUCACGAAGUUUUCGGUUUCAAGGUUUUUUCCCCUUUAGAAUAUGAAGCCUUAGUUCAAAUGGGUAGUGCUCCAUAUGUUCUAAUUCUAUGUAGAAGUAAUAAAAUUUGACGCGUUUUAUCUUAAUUUGAAUUUUGCAGUUAGUUUGCCUGCUAGGUUCAGUUGAGUAUAGUCUGGGUUUUCUCUAGGAAUGAAUGUUCCAUUGGGGUCAAUCUUUUUUAGGAGUUUAGAAUUAUAGUAGAUACUGGCUUAAUUUGUGGUACUGAAAUUAGGGCUUUUUGGUUAAUUGCAAUUUUUUGAUUUCCUAUGCUAUUCAAAAUGGAAUUGAAAUAUUCUGAUUUCCUUUUCUAUACAAAAUUGAAUUGAACUGAUUUCUUCUUGUCAUGCUUUUUUUGUUUUGAACAUUAACAUUUGCAUUUUGACAUAUUUGGUUUCUGGUUAUUUGGUUUAUGAUUUUUAGUAGCAACAGCAGAAACUGCAAGUGCUGAUGCGCAGUCAGUGGAUGAUCCACCAUCAGCAAGGUUCACGUGGACAAUUGAUAAUUUUUCAAGGCUCAAUACCAAGAAGCUCUAUUCUGAUAUUUUCGUUGUCGGAGGCUACAAGUGGUAUUUUAUCUCUCAACAUUGUUGCUGAUUAUCGGGACAGGUUUUUUGUUAUUCAAUAUCGUUAAGUGUUUUUGACCAUUUAGUUUGCAUUGGCAGGCGGAUUCUGAUUUUCCCAAAGGGAAACAAUGUGGAUCACUUGUCCAUGUAUCUAGAUGUUGCAGAUUCUGCAACUUUGCCUUAUGGGUGGAGUAGAUAUGCUCAGUUCAGUUUGUCUGUUGUCAAUCAAAUUCAUCAAAAAUACUCAAUUCGUAAAGGUAUUGUCUCUACUGAUGGCUUGGAAGGAUCUAUCCUUUUCUUAUCCUUCUACCUCUACAUAAUAGUGUCUGCAUGUUGAAAAUAUGCCUUAAUGUUUGUUCUAAAGUUUGCUGGAUUUGUGCAUGUAAAUAAUCAUAGUUGCUAUAUCUCUUUUAUAUUUCCUUCUCUUUUUUUUUUUAAACUUCUUAUUGUCCAAUCCAUUAAAUUGAGCAAAGCUUGUCAUAAGUAUUAUUUUAGGUGGUUCUGAACCAUUUCAGUAUCAGCUCGAGCUUUGUUUUAUUUAUAUAUUUUUUAAAAUAAUUUUUACAUUGGAGUUCAUUGCUUGUUUGUUUUUCUUUUUUUCUUUCCAUUCUUUUUGAUUUUGUGGGUUAUUAGCAUACUUGCUGGAUACCAAUUAAUGGAUUUGUGAGUGAUCUAGAUCUCCACGAUACUCCAUUGAUACUUCCUGAUUUGCAUUGGAUAUUUCUUUUAGGAUAACUAUGCUAGAUUAGAAAAAAAAGAGAAUCUUUCUUUCCUUGUAAAUUCUAUAUGGUAUUUCUUGGAUUUCUUGAUCUUAGUGGUUUCACAUUGAAUAUUAUAAUUUGCAUCCUAUGUUAUAAAGAUGGUAUUUGUCUUAACUUAUAAGCUAGCAUAUGAGCUCUAAAGAUAAAGCUUACCUAUUUGUUUAUAGUAUUUUGUGACUUAUAAGUUAAAAGAAAUAAGUUGGAGGAACAACUUAUCAUUUUGGUGCUUAUAAGCUACAUUGAUAUAGUAUUUUACCAUGUUACCCUCAUUUAAUUUUAAAUCUCAUCGCAUGUCUAUGUAAUAUUGUAAUUUUAACAAUAAAUGGGAUUAUAAGCUUACUUUUUAUCAAACAAGCUAGCUACCUAUCACCCAGUUAUAAGCAUUUAAAUCAAACACGUAAUUGCUUUCAAUUUUAAAUGCUUAUAAACUUAAGUUAGCUCAACUCAGUUAAUUUUUUACAAGAUAAGCUAAACAUCCUCAAAGAAGUUUGUUGCAAGUUGCAAUUUGUGAGGGCAUUUUUAUAUGCUUUCUAACUGCUCACAAAAUGGGAAUACCUAGGUGAUUACAUUGUGAAUUUACUGUAGAAUACUAUAAAUUUGAAAACAAAGGAAAAAUGUAUAUUUCUGUACGUGUAGGUAUUUAUUAGUUAAUGGAUGCUGACAUCAUAGUUGUGAAAGGCUCAAGGCGCACCAAGGCGCAAAGGGGGUUUGGACUUUGGAGCCUCGCCCGAGCAACUUGAGGUGCAAAAAAUAAAAAAGUAAAAGAUCAAUUAAAAUUCAAGUAACAUAAAACUAAAUGCAAUAAAAUCAAAUACCAGACAUCAAAUGCAAUAUAAUCUUUACUUGUUUGCUACUUUCACAAUCACAAUUCACAAAUCACAUUAUCACAAUCCACAAUUCACAUUCACAAUAAACUCUAAAUUAUUGUUUGCUAACUAUAUUCACAAAUCUCAAUUUACUUGAUUAAUUAACAUGAUAAUAAUAUAAACGGAUAAUUAACAUAAAGUUAAAAAAAAUCAAUAAUACAGCACAAUAGCAGGCUGGUUGGCAAUGGCAGAGCAGCAUGCCAGCAACAUGACAACCAUGGGGAGAGAGAGAGUAAAGAGAAAGAGAAGGCAGAAAAAGAGAAAGAAUAAAGUAAGGAAGGAGAAUGAUAAACUAAAAAAAGGGAAUUAUAUGUUGAGAAUGAACUGAAGAGAUGAAAUCUAGGUAUGUUGAAGUCUUCAACAUUGAUUUUUUCUUCCUAUCCUUCUUCUUUUUUCUCUUCCUCUUCUUCUUUCCCCCUCUUUUUUCCUUCUCUCUCCUGAUGCUGUUGCUGGCUGCUGAAGUUGUUGUUAAAGUCUAGGGCAAAUUUUGAAGCCCUUUUAUAGAGGGCGCCUCGAAGGGCGCUUGGCGAGCCAGAGGGCGCCUCAGGCACAGCGCCCGCCUGGCGCCACACUAGGCGCUAGGCCUGGCGCUUGGUCCGCCUUGAGCCUGAGGCGUGCCUUUCAUAACACUGGCUGACAUAUUGUAUGAUGUCAUGCUCAUAUACCAUAUUCUGCCAAUGCUUUAGAAAACAAAUUCUGUGUGCAUGUGUUUAGAAUAUGAAGGUCUCUUUAUCUAUCUCUUCCUUUGAGAGGCUUGUUUGUAUUACUGAAACAAAGGAGAAAUUGUGGGCGCCAAUCCAUGAUGAAUCAUAUAUUAGAUUAGUGGUAGUGUAGAUUAGUUGUCUUGGUUUCGAAUCUCUUUUUUUGAAUCUUGAAAUCUCAUGGAAUUUUGAAAAGUUGAUGCUAGCUCAACUGUAGGCCAUCUAGCUGUGCAUUUGUUCAAUCUUUGAUGGUGCUGGUAUGGUGGAGAAUGAUAAUGGUGAUUUGGAUUCCCUUAUCUCUAGUUAGAGUGAAAAUCUUAGGGUUGCCUGCUUGGCGCCACACCAGGCGCUAGGCCUGGUGCUUGGUGCGCCUUGAGCCUAAGGCGCGCCUUUCAUUACACUGGCUGACAUACUGUAUGAUGUCUUGCUCAUAUACCAUAUUCUGCCAAUGCUUUAGAAAACAAAUUCUGUGUGCAUGUGUUUAGAGCAUGAAGGUCUCUUUAUCUAUCUCUCCCUUUGAGAGGCUUGUUUGUAUUACUGAAACAAAGGAGAAAUUGUGGGCGCCAAUCCAUGAUGAAUCAUAUUUUAGAUUAGUGGUAGUGUAGAUUAGUUGUCUUGGUUUCGAAUCUCUUUUUUUGAAAUCUUGAAAUCUCAUGGAAUUUUGAAAAGGUGAUGCUAGCUCAACUGUAGGCCAUCUAGUUGUGCAUUUGUUCAAUCUUCGAUGGUGCUGGUAUUGUGGAGAAUGAUAAUGGUGAUUUGGAUUCCCUUGAUCUCUGAUUAGAGUGAAAAUCCUAGGGUUGUUGCUUCUAUUACCCAAAGCGACUAUUUGUGGUUUUGAUGAAAUGGACCGUGGGGAUAUUAAGUGAGUUACUUGCAAAAAAUGGCCAACUUAACUUAGUUCUGCAUUUGGUUUAUUCACUUAACUUUCUUGUCUGCAUUUUGGACUGGAGAAGUAUGCUUUACCUAUGUUACUGGUGUAUGUAGAGGGCUAGAAUCUCUCUACUUUUUCCCAUGGUCUUGAGUUGCUAAAAAUGUCAUUCAUAUUUGGGUAAUUUUUAGCCUGCAUGGAUCAAGUUCAAGGGUUUAAAUGGACUAUUUUAACUAGACUCUUAUGAUUCUUGAUUUGAUCAUAUAUCUUAGUGAGUUUAAUCUUUUGUUGUUAGAAUCUUAUAAUUCGAUUUGAUCCAAUUCUCCAUCCUAUAGAUUCAAAUCUAUGGGAUUUGUCACAAAUAUACCUGAAUCAUGAUUGAAUGGGAAGAAUUCAUAAUGAAUCCGGUGAUUCAAUAUGAAUUGAUUGAUUUAGUUGAUUUUCUCCUAAAGGGAUGUUAAGCUAUAUUGCUUCAAAAUUAAUAAUGCACUUUAUUUACUAUGGAAAGUGCGCGUAAAACUUUUUCUUAAUUGUUUCUCUUCCACUAGCCAUUCUUUUUUACUUUAUCUCAUCUUCUUUUUCUUCUUCCUUUUUUUUUUUCUCUAAUUUUACUUGUCUAAUUUAUUGUUGUCAAAUUAUGAUAAUGUAUAUAUUGGCGUUUUAAUUUAAUUAUUUGAUCAAAUUUAAAUUGGAGUUUCAGCAAAUUCACAAUGAUAACUAUUGUCUAUAAUUUAAGAGAUUAUAAUUUAUAAUGUAAGACUAUAACAUAAUAAGAAUAUACUAUUUUGUUAUGAACAUAACUGAUAGUUUUAUAUGUAUAAAUUAUUUUAUUGUGAUAAAAUUUUUAAUCUUUCUAUUGGAACAUUUCAUUUUUAAUUAAUUUUUUUUUCUCAUAUCUUAUGAUUCAUUUGAUUCUUAAUUCAAUAUUCACAGAAAGAAAACAUCAAUUUUCAAUUUGAAUCUCAAUUUAACAACUGUGCUAGAAAUUGCUGUUCACCUACCAAUUUUUGAGAUGAUCAAGAUCUUGGAUCAAUCAAUUUUGCUUUUUGAAAUUGUGGUUUCAACCAUGGUUACCUGAAAAGCAGUAUGCUGCUUGGUCACCUACUCUUAUUUCCGUCUGAAGGGAGUAUUGACUAUAGAUUACUAGACUUAUUAUUAACGUAUGAUGCCACUUUUAACUUUUUAUAGUGUAGUUUUUGUUUCAUUUUGUGCCUUAACUCACAAAAGUAAGUGCAUGCCGCAUAGACUGCGGGAUCCCUUUGCACCUUUGUGUGCUUCACACUGGUAAUAAGUGUGGUGGGAAGGCUGGGUCGACAAUCUACUAUAAGAAGUCACAUUGAAUACAUGGGAUAUGCAUGGGGAUUGAAGUAGAGGGACAAGGAGAUAGAUUGUUUUUGAUAAUAAGGGUGCAAGUAGGCUAAGAGGAACAAGGAUAUAGUUUGCUUUAGAAAAUAAGGGCUCAAGUGUGGCUAGCUCGUAUAUUUAUAUAAACAUACAUACAUAAUAUGUGUGUAUUUUGUUUUAAAGUGUUAAAUUUGGGUCAGGUUUAACUCACUCCAAAAGAUAGUUCAUGGGAGAGGAUUGCCUAUAGCCCAUAUAAGGGCACAUUACUCCUUUGUCACACCGAUGUGAGAUUUAUCGCACCCUCUUCGCGCUUAGGACCACACUGGAACAUGACACAUUUAUGGGAGGCUCAAUAUCGGUGGAGGCUUUGAUACUAUAUUAAAUUUAGGUUAGGUCUAACUCACUCCAAAAGCUAGCUCAAGGGAAAGGAUUGGCUAUAGCCUAUACAAGGGCACAUUCUCCUUUUCCCAAACUGAUGUGGGAUCCAACAUAAAGUAUGUUCUAAAGGUUUUGAAAGAGCAUCUGAUCUGAAAUAACAAUGGGAUAUCUAUUGGCUGUUCUACAUCAGAUAAAACAAUGGGAAAGGGUGGCAGCAGUAAAAUAUAUAAUAAGAUGGAUGAGGUGUCUUUGAUUAUGCUGACAUGCUGAUUUUUGAGUAAAAUUAGGAAAAGAUUGAAUAUCUAGGGUUAUUGUGUAUUUUGAAGGUGGCACAAGUUGUACAUUAUUUGUCCAGUAAUUAUUUUUAAAAUAUUCUUAGAAAAGAAUUCAAGAAUUCAUCAUUUAUUACUUUAUAACAUCUAAUUUACAAUAUAGAAAAGACUAUUAAUCAUCAUUUAUACUUAUUCCAAAUGAAUAAAAUUUAUCCAUAUUGCACAGAUGGUGGUAAAAUUCCUUGAGUUGUUGGUACUGAUUAUGUUGCUUUCUGCAGACACACAGCACCAAUUCAAUGCACGGGAGAGUGAUUGGGGCUUCACUUCAUUCAUGCCUCUUGGGGAGUUGUAUGACCCUGGAAGAGGCUAUCUUGUUAAUGACACCUGCGUAGUUGAAGCUGAUGUUGCUGUCCGAAGAGUCAUUGAUUAUUGGUCUCAUGAUUCCAAGAAGGAGACGGGUUAUGUUGGACUUAAGAACCAAGGAGCUACCUGUUAUAUGAACUCUCUUCUUCAGACAUUGUACCAUAUUCCUUAUUUCAGAAAGGUUUGUGUGUUUGGUCUUCAUGGUUUGAAUUAAUGAAAUUAUUUGCAAGCUAUAUUUGGAAUGUUAUUUGCAGGCUGUAUAUCAUAUGCCAACAACUGAGAAUGAUAUGCCAUCUGGAAGCAUUCCUCUGGCUUUGCAGAGUUUGUUUUAUAAGCUUCAAUACAGUGACACUAGUGUAGCAACAAAAGAGUUGACCAAGUCUUUUGGCUGGGACACAUAUGAUUCUUUCAUGCAGCAUGAUGUGCAGGAACUUAAUAGGGUUCUUUGUGAGAAGCUUGAAGAUAAAAUGAAGGUAUAAAGCUUUCAUGGUUUUACUGUUUAUUGCUAGUGUAUAAUGGAUCAGUAAAUAUGUACCUUUGUUUUACUGGCUCAGGGAACAGUUGUGGAGGGCACAAUACAACAGUUAUUUGAAGGGCACCAUAUGAAUUAUAUUGAAUGCAUCAAUGUGGACUAUAAGUCGACAAGAAAGGAAUCAUUUUAUGGUACACAUUUGGGUUGAACUGAGUAACUAGAUUAUCAAGAUUCAUCUUUUUCCCUCAUGGGAUUUUAUGUAUAAUUGUAGAUCUUCAGCUUGAUGUCAAAGGCUGUCGGGAUGUUUAUGCUUCUUUUGACAAAUAUGUGGAGGUGGAACGUCUCGAGGGUGAUAAUAAAUAUCAUGCUGAGCAACAUGGGUUACAGGUGAGAUGAUUUUUGCACAUGGGUACUUUAAUCUUUAAGUUUUUGUGAACGUGUACUUGUUUCCAGGAGCACUCAAAUUAUGAACCUUUGUUUUUAGACACUCAAGGAUUUGAACAUAUUGAUUUUUUUUUUGGGGGGGAUGCUUGACUCAUUCUGAGGAAUUUCAUUACUGUCUUUUAUCUUUCAUUUACUUGUUUAAUUUAAAAUCAUUAGCCAUUAAUGAAGUACAUUGGUUAUUGCUUCUCAUUCUAGUUUUGAUUCUGCUUUCUUCAAUUUAAAUAGAUUUUUUUUUCCGGAAAAUGCUUUAUUUUGUACUUCUGGAAAACGUUUUCUAAUAUGCUUGAUAUAUUGGACUUCUUCAGGAUGCUAGGAAGGGUGUGCUAUUUAUUGACUUUCCUCCUGUUCUUCAACUUCAGUUGAAGCGGUUUGAGUAUGAUUUUAUGCGGGACACCAUGGUAAAGGUUAGUUGUUGACCACGUGAUUUUCUUUUGAGCUUUCUUUGUAUUUGACCUGUUGAAUGUAAUGGGGUUGGCCUCCCCUUUGUAUAAACCUUCCACCCCAACCUAGUGGGAUUAAGAUUUGAGACCUGGCAGUGGAGAUUUCCAACUUGUUUCCAAUAGGAUGUCCUCUUGGGACUGUAGGAUGCUGUUUAAUUGUGGUUAACAAUACCUGGUUCCUAAAAAUUUUUGCAAGAAAAGUAGAAGACAAAAUUUGUUAGUGGAAAGAUUGUUAGUUUUGAAGUUGGUUGGCGAUAGUGGGUCAAAUGGUCAAAUCCUGGAGAUGUCAAGUAGAGUGGCAGUAGUCAAUGCUAUUCAGAAUUCAAGAGAAAAUAUAAAAUCUAUCUGUUCUCCAUAUCCAGUUUACAUAUGCUUUUCCAAAAUUAUUUGCCCAUGGAAAAUUCGAUAGUGUUUAUUUUUACCUCCAUUUCUAGUAUUUUACAUUUAAGAGGUUUUGUUUUUGUCAGAAACAAUUAGGUUAACUAUUAUUAUUGUGGUUUUAAAUACAGUAGCGUAGCCCAUAUUGAGGUGAUGAUGGUAGGUGUUGGGGAUGGGGUGAAGGAUGUGGUUGAUGAUGGUAAUGGGCAUCACAGGUGGCAACUUGUGAUCACAACUGCAUUGUCAAGGUGAUGUCUUGGAUGGUAUUAUGAUGAUAGUGGGACUUCAGGUUCGGUAGUACUAAUGAUGGUGGUGUGGUGGUAGGGAUAGGGGCACUAGCAUUGAUGGGUGGUAAUGGUGGUGUUGAUGAGAGUACCAAGACAAUAUUGAUUAUGUUGUAUUUUAUGUUUGUCACAGUAGCAGUGACCUGGAGUAGGUGUUGUCAAUUGUUGUCACAUGCUUAUGACAAUGCUGAACUGCCAGUGACCAUGGAUUUCAAUCACAACUGUGUCAUAUGUGUGGACGGAAAUGGGGCUGGCUUGGCCNNNNNNNNNNNNNNNNNNNNNNNNNNNNNNNNNNNNNNNNNNNNNNNNNNNNNNNNNNNNNNNNNNNNNNNNNNNNNNNNNNNNNNNNNNNNNNNNNNNNNNNNNNNNNNNNNNNNNNNNNNNNNNNNNNNNNNNNNNNNNNNNNNNNNNNNNNNNNNNNNNNNNNNNNNNNNNNNNNNNNNNNNNNNNNNNNNNNNNNNNNNNNNNNNNNNNNNNNNNNNNNNNNNNNNNNNNNNNNNNNNNNNNNNNNNNNNNNNNNNNNNNNNNNNNNNNNNNNNNNNNNNNNNNNNNNNNNNNNNNNNNNNNNNNNNNNNNNNNNNNNNNNNNNNNNNNNNNNNNNNNNNNNNNNNNNNNNNNNNNNNNNNNNNNNNNNNNNNNNNNNNNNNNNNNNNNNNNNNNNNNNNNNNNNNNNNNNNNNNNNNNNNNNNNNNNNNNNNNNNNNNNNNNNNNNNNNNNNNNNNNNNNNNNNNNNNNNNNNNNNNNNNNNNNNNNNNNNNNNNNNNNNNNNNNNNNNNNNNNNNNNNNNNNNNNNNNNNNNNNNNNNNNNNNNNNNNNNNNNNNNNNNNNNNNNNNNNNNNNNNNNNNNNNNNNNNNNNNNNNNNNNNNNNNNNNNNNNNNNNNNNNNNNNNNNNNNNNNNNNNNNAAGGGAGUAAUACAACAUCUACGUAAAUAUAUAUAUAAUUGACUUCCUAUUUACAUACACACGUGUGUGUGUGUGUGUGUAUAUAUAUAGGGUAUGGUGCCUCACUUUUAAAAGGUCAUCACCUCACCUCACCUUGCCUCGCCUCUUGUCUCUUGCCUAAGGCCAUAGAGUGUCCUGUUGCCUUAGUGUCACCUCUUGCCUUAACAUUGGCUGAAUUUAAAACCAUGGCAGUGGAUCUGGUAAUUUGUUGUGGUUGUGAUGGGGUUGAUGUGCUGUAACAUCAUGUUGUUGUGGUAGUAGCAAUAGGUGUAGGUGUUGGCACUUUGUGAUUUGCAUUUUAGAGUGUAAAAUAUGACGGGUAAAGGAUAUGGUUGAACGUGUUUUAAAUUAAUUAUUGAUGUGACAACGGAUCCUUCUGGAGAAAAUAAAUUUCAUUUGAUUCACCAACUAUGAUAAAAUGAAGAAAAUACAUAUUGUUGAUAUUUCAUGUUGCCCUUGCUCGGUAAAGAAAAUUCAUAUUGUUUCUUGUUUCUUCUUGCCCUUGCUUUGUAAAGAGAGAGAGCACCGAUUUCCUCAUAGAAGGUGGCACUCAUUUACUUUGGCCACCCCUUCCCAUGUUCUUUUCUUUUCACGCCUUUCUAAUGCGAUGCAAUGACAUUUAGGGUUUUAAAUAUUGACAGUUAUUAUUGGUUCAACCAAUAAAUAAUGGAAAAAUUUUGAUGGAACAAUAUGAUAUCUUUCAAUACAUCCCUUGUAUAUUUAGAUCUCACUGCAGAAUGCCCGUAUCAGCUGAAAUGACUGUUGCAGCCUGUUCUGAGAAAGGUGUACAGGCUGAAAUGGCCAGCCAAAGGAGGAAAGGAGACAGGAAAAAAAGAAAAGGGGGGAGGGGGGAUAGGGGUUUGUGUGCACUUGGACAGGAGCAAGCAACCAUGUUUGAAUUUUCAUAUCUUCUUCUUCUCGUUCAUUUUAAAUCAUCAGAACAUGAACCAAUGAAGAAGACAAAGGUGCAAGAUCAAGAAGGGGAAGAGGGGAACAAAUGAUAUUUUUUUAAAAUAUAUUUGACUUCUGAAGACCUUAUUUAUCACAUGCUGGGUUUUCUUUUUCAAUUUUUAAACCUAAUACAUUUUGGCUUUUGCUUCAGUUUUGUUCAAAUUAUAGUUUGCAUUCUUUAUAGAUGGAAAAAAAAAUAUUCAUUUAAAAGUUUUUAACACAAUUUAUUUGAAAAAGGCCAAUUGACCUAGAAAAGUCAAAUGUUUCUGUUUUGGUGAUCUUAUCCAAACAUUUUAAUUUUGGCAAAUGAGUCCAAAAUUGAAAGGUUUAUAGAAAUUGUAUCCAUUCCCUUCCCAUAAAAGAGGCCAUAAAUAGAAUUAACCUAAUCAUAAUUUCCCCAAGAUCAAGACAUUGAUCUGCCAACUGCAUAAAUUAAACUAAUGUCAUCAUCGCAAGAAAAUAUAUUCUUAUUAUAGGUCAUUAUUUUAAUCUUGCAAGUUGCACUCUUCCUCUAUGGCCGUUGCUGCAUAAUCAACCAUGAGUACCAGGACAAAUAACACUACCGGGAGCAGGAAAACAGAGUAGCAUUUCUAUUAAUAGAAGGUCCCUUUUUCUGUAGCCUUCGCAUUAUAAUUUGGUUGUAUCUUAAAUUGGCAUCAACUUUUUGCUGUGAAGCAGCAGGUAGUAGAAUUUCAUAUUUACUCACCUUUUCCUUCAUAUUCUUUUGAUUCUCUUCACAUCUUCACAAGCCAAGAAGCUAGUCAUCCUCCUAAUAUUUGCUUUUCCUUCAAGUUGACAAGCAAUUUCCUCUUUCUUCUUCCCUUUUGAUAAGCCAAGCUGAAAGUUCAUUUCCACGAGAACAAGACAUUGAUCUGCCAGCAAUGAAGGCUAAGGAACCUAAUCCUAGGAGAAUGAAAUGCAGAAUAUCAAAUAAAUGGGGAAAUUUGGAUUAGGUUGAUUCAAUUUAGGGUUUCUUUGAUGGGAACAAAAUUUACUUAAGUAUCCUUGGAUUUAAAGACUAACUAUAGUUGCCUUUGUGUGUAGUGGGUCUUAUGUUCUUGUAAUAAAAGUGUCACCUAUGUGUCCAACUAGGUAUGGAUUUUGAAUAAGAUUUCUGCAAACCUUUUAACUUUGGACUAAUUUUCCAAAAUUAAAAAAUAUAAAUAAAAUUGUCAGAAUGCGUAAGCAUUUGACUUUUUAAGGUCAAUUGGCCUUUGACAAAUACAUAUUUUUAUUUAUUUAUUUAUUUAAUCAAUCUGUUACUUUAUAUUAGUUCUUAAUAAUUUAUUAUUAUAUUAUAAUCCAUUUGUAUAAAGAUAAUAAUAUUUUAUUUUCAUAAAUUAUCUCUUUAUAUUUUUUAAUGACAAUUUACUAUAUAUUCAGGAUUAUAGUGAUAUUUAGUUCAAUCCUUGCAUUAUUGUUGAUUUUUAGUCAUGUUCCUAAUAUUUUAAAAGAAUUUUGCAAAAUCAGUGGCCAAUUUGGUAUGUUCAGACCCAUUAAAUCUGAUUCCAGUGUACAAUUUCUGAUUCUAAAAACCUAACUGAUUGCCUUAUUAUUGGCUUGCUUAUAACAUUUUCCUUUCCUAGGAAGGUUCUGUCUUUUUGUUGAAAUAUUUUUGUAAUUUAUUGUUUUACUUGUUUCUGCUUAUGUUAUAUUUAGCUACAUUCUUCAUCUAACUCAUUGAUGGAUUGCAGAUAAAUGAUCGCUAUGAGUUCCCUUUGCAACUUGAUCUUGAUAGAGAGGAUGGUAAAUAUUUAUCUCCGGAGGCUGACAGAAGUGUCCGCAACUUAUACACACUUCACAGGUAAAAAUUUGUAUUAAGAAGAAUCCAAGAACAAUUUUUUGAAGAUCUUGUACUUCCUGAGCUCAUCUAUGAAUGAGCAUUAAUUGGAACCUGAAUAGCAAAGUUGAUUGUGCUUUGAGGACAACCAAUGCAUGUGAGAAACUAAUGUGGUGCUUCGUUUCCUCUUUUUGGGAAUAGGAGAACCAGUGAGUUAGGUGGACCAACUUUUUUUUUUUUUAUAAACAUCAUCGGACCAACUAUUUGAAAGAAAAAAAUUGGUCAUGAUGUAACUAAUGAUAGAAGUGCAGUGACAGCUUGAAAGGGCCAGUCAUAUGCAUGAGGAAUGAGGAUCAACAAUGGACAACCAUGAAUGUAGCAUGGGAAGCUUGACAGCUUUAAACAACAGAUCAAUUAUCUUGCGGUUGAUUCAAAAUCAGCCUCAGAUGUGUGGGUGCCUUGAUUUUAUCAUCAAGUGCAAAUAUUCUUAAAUUUCUAAUAAACUACUGUCCAGUCCAACAUUGUGCAGUAACUGUCUUCAUUCAGCUCUAUUCAUAUGCCCCUUUCCCCCCUUUUGUUCCUCCUCUUUUUCCCAUAUGCAUAGUAUAGUGAUUGCUUCCGUAUGGAGUUGUUUAUGGUUGGGUGAAAUGUAGUCAUACUCUUAAGGUAUCUGAAACCCCUUUAACCCUGUAGUGCCAUUGACAUGUUAAUUUAUUUAUUUUUUGUUUUGUUGUUGUUAGUUUAUAGUGUGUUGGUUCUCUUUUUUACUGAUGGUAUAAUUUUCUUUGAUUCAUUGGUAUUCAUAUCAUUUCUUCAGUUACAGUCUUAUUUAUGUAAUGGUUUUUCUUGUCUGUGCUGUUUAGUCAUACCUGUCAUUCACUGAUACAGUUGAACUUGUCAGCUAAAAUAUACUGUUGGUUGCCUAUUGUAACUGAUGAACAUGUUUAUUUUGUUGCUGAUAUGCAUUAUGUGCUGUUUCUUGUUUUCAGUGUUUUAGUUCAUAGUGGGGGUGUGCAUGGUGGGCACUAUUAUGCGUAUAUUCGGCCGACUCUCUCAGAUCAAUGGUAUGCAUUGUGUUCCCCCUGAGUUCUGCUAGUUUUAGGUGAUGCAUUUUAUUUUAAUUUUUUAAAUUACGAUUUGAAGCAUUUACUUGCUCUCUGACCAGUUUUAUUGUUGAAUUGAUUAUUUAUAAGCUAUUCUAAUAUGUUUUCCAAAAAAGGGUAUUCUAAUAUUUUGUUACUGUAUUCUUGAUUUGUUUGUUAGAUGUAGCUUGAUGGCUAUUAUAAUACUGUUCCUUUUUACUAUAUUCCUUUUUUUGGAUGGACUCAAGUACUCAUUCAUGUUGCUGCUUACUAGAGUUGUUGAACUGGCAGUUUGGGGCAUGCUCUUUAGAACCUGUUCUCAUGUAGCUUGUUUUUUCUUGCAUUUAUAAUGCAUGAUACAGUGUGGUUGUCUUUUUCUCAUAUUUUGCUUCUCAUUUGGCUUUGCAUCAUUUAGGUUUAAAUUUGAUGAUGAGCGUGUAACAAAGGAGGAUAUGAAAAGGGCACUAGAGGAGCAGUAUGGUGGUGAGGAAGAGGUAACAGUUUUAAGCAUUGGUUGUUUGUUUUCAUUUGAUUUCAAGCGUUUCACUUUAUGUUUUGUGUAGCAGUUACCACAGACAAAUCCUGGCUUCAACAACUCUCCCUUUAAGUUUACAAAAUAUUCAAAUGCCUAUAUGCUUGUAUAUAUACGUGAAAGUGACAAGGAAAAGAUAAUAUGUAAUGUGGAUGAGAAGGACAUUGCGGAACACCUCCGGGUGAGAUGUUGAUGAUGAAUUUUAUCAUUUUGUUUUUUCCAAUUCUAUUAUUUGGCAACAUUUUGCUGUGUAUAUCUAAUAUCUCAUUUCAGGUAAGGUUGAAGAAAGAACAGGAAGAAAAAGAACAAAAGAGGAAGGAAAAAGCUGAGGCCCACUUGUAUACUAUUAUAAAGGUAAUAGCUUUCAAAAUUUUAUUCUUGUACCUCUCUUGGCCCACCCAUGACGCUGUGUGUGGAGGAAGAGAAAAACAGUUGCAUUCAGACCGUUUGCCAUCUAUAUAUAUACACUUUCAAAUGAACUGACAUACAGUUGUUGGUUGUUAUAAUGAUAAAAUGUUUCUCAUGGAACAUCAGUCAAUGAUUUAUUUAUUGUGCCUUUAGGUUGCCCGAAGUGAGGAUUUACUUCAACAGAUUGGGAAGGAUAUAUAUUUUGAUCUCGUGGAUCAUGAUAAAGUUCGAAGUUUCCGUAUCCAGAAACAAAUGCCCUUUAACCUUUUCAAGGUAUCUGUUUUCUUUCUCUUUCCUUUCCUUCAAUGUUGGCUUUCAUCCUAAACUAACAGUUAUGCAUUCCAUUUUCUAAUUUGAGACUAACUAAUAUAUCCAAAAGUUAAUCCUGAUUGGGGAGAUCUAUACAUGCUUCACUAAAUUUACAUUGACUAGCAGCUUCUAUUUAUGUACCUUAGCUAAGUGGAAUGAGAUCCUGUAAAGUGGUUCCUUUGUCAUUCAUAUGACCAACUUUAUUUAUUUCUUAUUCUUUGCCUUGUUUCACUCCUAAAUUUCAAUAUAUAUAUGCCUCUCAUAUGCAUGCCCAGGCAUUCCAAUAAUUAUGUGAUUUUAUAAAUAUAUUUAGUGAAAUUUAACAUUCUUUGCAAUAUAUUAUAGCUAUAUGAAUUCAAUUUUUAUGGAAGUCAUUUGAUAGAAAUUUCUAAACUACUGCACUUCUUCUGUUUGAUUUAUUUAUUUUUUUAGUGUUUCAGUCCUAUCACAUGAAAAAACAUAGUUCUUUUAAUAUAUAGUUUUUGUGAUAACCUGUAUUUUUGCCUCUUGUUAAUGCUUUAAAUUAUUAGAUAUAUGAGAUUAUUAUGAUUAGUUAUGUUUUUCAUUUAAGGUUUUGAGUUACCUUUUUGUAAUACAUUUUACAUUAGCAGCGGCCAUGGAGUUGCAUUGCAGUUAACUGCAACAAAUCAAGCUUCUAAUUAUAACAGCCAUAAAAUAUUUUCUUUGCAAUUUUUUUGAAUUGUUAAAUUCAUGAAACAAUAAGCAUAAAAUGUCAAAUAAAAAUGUGUGACAAGAAGUCUUUGGGUGUUGCUACUAUUAACAAGUUGAUCGCUAUAUUUUGUAAAAACUCAUUAAAUGUCUCCAAGUUUUGAUUAAACUCUUUAAUCAUUCUAUCUAAUACAUAAGUAAAGUAGUUGACCUUCCAUUUUUCAAAUUGCAAAUGAAUGGAUAUUUAGUCCCUGAAUUUUUCUAUUAUGAACACUUUCAUCCAUCUACUUUUUGGAAAAUAGAUUAAAACAUCACUCUUCUACUAGGGUAUUUUUGUAUUUUCCUCAAGUGUUAGCGAUUAAAUGGAUGGAGGGAUGAAAAUGUUUAAUGGAAACACAAUUUAGGGACAUUUUAACAUAUCUCUAAAAAUACAUUCAUUAACUUGUUAAUAAUGGCAUUAUGAAGAACCCUUUUGUAAUUCAACCUAAUGUUCAAGUUCUUUUGCAGGAAGAAGUUGCUAAAGAGUUUGGUGUACCAGUGCAAUUUCAACGAUUUUGGUUGUGGGCGAAGCGCCAAAACCAUACAUAUCGCCCAAAUCGACCAUUGACUGCUCAGGAGGAAGCACAAUCUGUUAGUACAUAUUUGUGAACUUACUAUUGUACUAUGUUAGUUGGAGUUGGUAUGAGCAUCAAUCCAUGUCUACAUGCUGGGCUUACCUAUUUUUCAAAUUUGUAUUAUAUCUUUCCCAACUGAUUUGAAGUGUAACAGUGCUUCACCCAUGUUAAGGUAUCUAUCAAACAUGGAUGCAUUAAGUAAAAUGUAGUGUUGAACUAUUUUUGUCAGUUUUAACUUCUUUAAACAAAAUCCAAUUUUGAAGAGUUAGGUGAAAAACCUAUAAAUAUCUGAUUGACUAGAUUUUAUUUUUUAUGACCUAUAAGAAUAGAGUAGCAAAUAGAAAAUUUGAAGUUACGUUCACAUCCCGUUGAAGUAAUGGAAAUAUUAGGUUGAUGAAUGGGUUAUGGUAAUGCAGAUCUUCUUUUUGAUAACUUUAGAAUAUAGUAUUCUGAGCAGGUCUCCAUGCAUGGGCUGCAGUGCAUGCCUGCUUGGUCCCUUAAUUUUAUUGAAAUUCCUAAAAUUGAAGAGUACCAUGCCCAGAUUAGUUGCAUAGUGUUGAAGUUUGGAAGUUUCGGAAGAAUGCGUCAAUAGUCACUUAGUCAUGCUACUUCCUUAGAAGCUGCAAUGCUUUCCUACUUGUUUCUCAGCAGGGUUCUUUUAAUUAUUAUGAUUUUAUUGGAUUUGCACAGUACACGUCUAAAUGUAGACUCAUUAGAUUGCUGUUGUGAUUAUAUGCUUAUGCUCAACACAUGUACUUGCGAUUCUCUUUGGCUCUGUGCUUGUUUGCCCAUUUUCUUGUUUGUAACAGUAAAAAUGCAUUGCAGGUUGGACAACUAAGAGAGGUUUCCAAUAAAGCAAACAAUGCUGAGCUGAAGUUGUUCUUGGAAGUAGAAUUUGGACAGGUAGUGUUCUUUUCACAUAACAUGGUUAUGUUUCCAAUGGCUUCCUGGAAGACAUCGAUGAAUUUUUUUUGGCUCAUUCAUUAUGUCUUAUGACUAUGAUAAUCCAGGAUUUGCGGCCAAUCCCUCCACCAGAGAAGACCAAAGAGGAUAUUCUUCUUUUCUUUAAACUUUAUGACCCUUUGAAAGAGGAGCUCCGGUAAUCUCAAUUUCCAGGUUCUCUUGCUUUAUGGGAAUGCUGUUAGUUAGCUGACAUUCUGCAAUGACAGGUAUGUUGGGAGGCUGUUUGUGAAGGGCAGUGGCAAGCCAUUGGAGAUAUUGACAAAGCUAAACAAAAUGGCUGGCUUUAGUUCUGAUCAAGAGAUUGAACUUUAUGAGGUCUUUCUGCUAGAUUUAGUUUGAAUUGCAGCUACGUUAUAGAUGAAUUAACUAGUUACAACAUUGAUUAUAUGUCCCACAAAUAUCUUACCAUCCUCAUGUAUAUCCAGGAAAUAAAAUUUGAACCUAAUGUCAUGUGUGAACACAUUGACAAGAAGCUCACUUUUCGUGCUAGUCAGGUAUUUAAGGUCAACCUAUAAGUGUAGAUUUGUUUUUUCCUUGCAAAUUGCUGGAUUGCAAUUAAUUUCUUUUCUUUUUUUUUUCUUUCAUCUUUGGUUCAUCCUCGUGGGUUCUUUAUGCAGCUUGAAGAUGGAGAUAUAAUUUGCUUUCAGAAAUCUCCUCAAGUUGGAAGUGGUGAACAAUGCCGCUACCCUGAUGUACCUUCAUUUCUUGAAUAUGUGCAUAACCGCCAGGUAGAUGAUGGAGUACUCUGAUAAUUAUUGUAGUUUCCCAUAUUAUUUCCUUGCUUGCUGCUAUCCAAAAUUUUAUCAUUCUAUAAUAGUUCCGUAAUUUUUAGAAACUUUCAUCCACUAUAAAUUUACAAUGUUUUGAACUUCAAUGGAGGCAUAUUAAUAGCUUUCUCUGUUCAUAUCAACAAAUAAAAAAUGAAUUCAUUUGCUGGCUUUUGAAGCUUUUUCGGACUAAGUUUAAAUAACAUAGUGGGAUGAUGCUAUAAUUGAUUGUUUUACAGAAUAGUUAAUGAUACUAAGUUAUUUAACAUAAAUUAAUAUAAUUAAAUAUUAGAGAAAAAUUUCAAAUAAUUUAUAAAAAAGUCCCAAAGGUUAGACAAAAAGCACAACUUAGUUUUUUUGAAAUAAAAAACACCCAAACUACUGUUAAACAUUAACAUCGUCGAGAAGUACAUUAUAAAGACAGAAAGGAGAAGACCCCCACCCCCCAAUCCACAGAUUAGACUCAGAAACAGCUACUCUAGCCAACAAAUGAGCACCUGAUUCGCUGACCUUUUUCACAGACGCACAAUAAGACCCAACAAGCUUAUUUAAAAGAGCUUUACACUCACAAUCACACAAAAAUAAGGACCCGAAUGAUAAUUCCAUACAUAGCAUAAAACAAGUUUUGAGAAUCCAUCUUAAUAAUGACAAUUGAAAUUAUGUUGCCUUAGCCACUUUAAAGUCGAGAGCCUCAACAUCCACAUCCAUUAUCCAUUGUCCUAAGAGCUGUACUACCCCAAUAAAACGUUCUAACCCAUCAUGUGGAGCCCAUCCAAAACCAACCUGUCCAACAUGAUUAACCUUGACACAUCGAUGUUGCAUUUUAGCAAAUGAGCAGCAGGCGGAUUCCACUUACUAGGAAAUGCUGCACUUGGACCAACAGGAGGAAGUAUGACAUUCUCCAUGCAGGGAGACAAGCGUGAAGUUUAGUGUUAGCCAUCUGUACCACCUGCACUACUGUUGGACUUUUAUCCUUUUGCCAUACAACUAGAUUGUGACUUUCCAUAUUGCCCAAAUUACUGUAAAAACACUGGACAUUUCAAAAGAAAGAGCAUAAAUGGAAUGACAAAACCAAUCAUUAAUAGAGAAUAUGCAACAUUCCCUUGCAAGAGUGCAAGUAAAGAGAAUAUGCAAAUCUGAUUCUUGGUAUGUAUGGCAAAAUGGACAAUGAGAUGGAACAUCAAUCCUUCGAGACAAUAGUAAUUCCUAAGUGGGUAGGAUACUAACCACAAUACAUCAAACCAAAUUUAGAACUUUUGGAGGGGCAUUAACUUUCCACAAUUUGGCCCACAAAUUAGAUGACAAAGUCACCCGCAUAGGCGGGAGGGAAGUAGCACUAAUACUCGUUUUAUGUCCAUUCUUGAUCGGAAACAAUCUGCUCUUAUCCCAAGUCCACUUUCAACCUUUUCAACAUCCAAACUUGAGGAUCUAGCUGCUAGAAGGUCUUUAACCAACAUGUCCUUAACACCAACAGGUGGUGGAGUAGUCACGUAAGGAAGCUGAAUCAGGCAGCUGUGGAUGAGACCAUUCUCUAGCUUAACAUCCCAUAGAAAUCCUACGUGACACCCUCCUAGCAAAAGAGGCCUUGCUUCCCAAAUGCUCUGCGAGGUGUAAUUGGAACUAGCCCCAAGGGACACUUCAAGGAAGAGAGAAGAGGGAAAAGCCUUGUACACCUUAGCAACCAACAAUUGAGAACUAAUACACAAUCUCCAACCUUGCUUGGCUAAUAUAGCAAUAUUAAAAUCAUGGAGAUGCAUGAAGUUCAACUCACCAUUCUCCUUAUGAUUACACAAAGGGUCCCAACGUAACCACCUAAUGUUCGAUUGUCCACCUCCCGAAACCCACCAAACACUGUCCACUAAUUUUUCUAGUGAGAAACACAGAUCCUCUAGCCGAAGGAAAAUGCUCAUCACAUAAUUGGGAACUGCCUGUGCAGAUGACUUAAGCAAAACCUCUUUACCAACUUUUGACAAAAUUCUGUGUGUCCAUCCUUGCAGACCUUACCACACCUUAUCAUAUACAAACUAAAACACUUUCUUCGUAUACCUACCAACCAAAGAUGAUAAGCCCAUAUAGGAGGUCAAAUGAGAGGCAACUCUAACUCGAAAAAUAGUGCUAAUAGCCUUGAUGAAGCACAAUAGAGGUAUUUGGAUUGAAAGAAAUAAUUGAUUUCUCAUAAUUAACAAGUUGCUCAGAAGCUGCACCAUAAAAAUCAAAGCAAUCCUUAAGACACUGUCCUUAGCAGAGGUAGCUCAAAAGAAAAAUUAUCCAUCAUCAGCAAACAACAAAUCAGACAUUGACGGGGCUCCUCUAGCCACCUUACCCCGUGCAUUAACCCCUGCAGUUAGUACUUUCGGAUUGAAGAGGUCAAGUCCUCAGCUUAAAGAAUGAACAAUAUGGUGACAACGGGACUCCUUGUUGUAAGCCACAAUUGAAGAUAAUAGGCACAUAAUUGUUGCCUCCAUGAGAAAUACAUAUUGAACAUAAGUAAAGUAUUGCAUAAUCAUUCCAACCUAAUCAUCAGCAAAACUCAUUCGCAACAGGAUUGUCUCAACAUAGCACCAUUCCAUAUGGUAUGUGUUACUCAUAUCAUCCAAACCUGUUUUACUUUGUUUUUUUCUUUACAAACCAUGCAUGACUUCAAACGCAACCAAUUUGUUGUUUGUGAUUUAAUUGAUUGGGCACAAAAGCACUCUAGACAUAUGACUUUACAUCUGGCAACACCAGUUUUUAACCGAUUUGCCAUAGCCUUUGACAUGACUUUAUCAAUAUGGUGAAUGUGACAAGGUGAAGAUGGGGAGGAGAGGGAGGGUGAAUAACUUAUUUAGCUUUGUAUGUGAGAUAAAUUUCACCUCUUCGAAGGGAGAUAAGGGGAAAUCAUGGUUUUAAUUGCUGUCAUGGCUUCAUUCGCAAGUUAUAGAAAUUGGCCUGUGCUGUAAUGUAAUGUUAACAACCUAUUAUUUGCUAAAUUUAUGGAAUUAAUGUUUAUAUAAAGAUAUAUUUAAAAAUAGCAUGUACUAAUAAGCAUAAACACAUUAAAAUAAAGACACUAGUACCUCAUUCUUAGCAUGGUUUUAAAUUGCGGUCGGGGACAAGCCUGUAAUGGUCAUAAUGUAAUGGUAAUGGCAUGUCAUUACGCAAAUUUUUUUGAAAAAUUUGCGAAGUUCAUGAAAUUAGCAAGUAUUUAAAGGUGCAAUCAAAACUAAGUUAUACAACUUAAUAAUAAGUACAUUUCAUGCAUAAUAAUUAACCUCAAUUACCAUCAGAAUAAGCGUCUAGCAGGUUCUUGAGUAGAUCUACUUUGAUCUUCUAAUAAAAGUUAUUUAACAUUUUAACUUCUAAUCAUUUUUAUUUAUACAUUCACUACAAAAUAAAAACUAAUAAAAACUAAAGGGAUUCAAAAAAAAAUCUAAAAUUUAUUGAAAAAUAAUAAAAACUUAAGUUCUAAGUUUGUAAUAAAAAUUGCCUAACAUUCUAACUUCUAAUUGUUUUUAUUUUUGCAUUAACUACAAUGAUUCAAAAGUUAUCUAACAUUUGUUGAAAAAACUAAUAAAAACUAACUUUUUUGCACAGUAGCUUUUGAAACCACUCUAAAAUAUAGAGUUCUUGAUUCUUGAAAAAGUGAACACAGGAAUUUGCAAUCCUUAGUAGUCAAACUUGCAGAAAUUUUGGAGAAAGUUGAGAAGAGAGCUUGAGAAUUGAGAGAAAUCUAAUGUUUUUUUUUUUUCAGUUUUGGAAAUUUGGCUUGGGUAAAUUAAGUGACAAGGCUGAAAAGAGGGUUUUCAAGCCUUCAAUUAUUCAAACAUCACGUAAAGAUGGCUGUCCCUAGCAAGAAAACGACAUUAUCUAACAAAUUCCUGCAGAGAAAAGAAAGUAACCGUUACGGCCUAACAGCCAUUACUCUAACAAAAUUUUAUUGCCGUUGAAUAAUGGCCUUAAGGGCCAUGACCUUCUCCAAAACCUGUAAAUGAUGGCCUUUACCUAAGUUAUUUAAAACCAUGAUUCUUAGACAUUGAAACUCAGCUGUGGAUUCUCUUGAUUUGAUGGCCUGGAAAAAUAUGGAUAUUAGAAGUGUAGAUAAUUGCUCUCUUUCACUUCAAAUAACGAUCACUAUUUGAUGUUCUUAGCAAGAAAUGUAUUAUGAAGAAGAAAAAUUGAGAGAAACAAAUGGGUAUGUGUAGAAACUAGAAACAAAAUAAGCUCUUUGCCACUGCACCACAAAUAAAAUAGAACUUAAUGAUCAUUACCUGUUUACGUAAUGGUUGGUAGUGCCUCUUACCCAUUACAACUUUUUUUCCUCAUUUAUUUAAAAUGGGGGUUGCACACAGUACCCCCCCCCCCCUUCAUUAUUUAAAACCACAGGUGAAAGACUUAUUCUUUCCUACGGUUCGCCUUCUUUAGAAAGAUAUUUACAAAGCAUAAUAAUUAAAGGUUUCACCUCCAUUCUCCUCCCUCCCCCCUCAAUCCUUGCAUAGUUUUGAGGGCUAAAAAUAUAAAAGCCCUGUUUGAACUCGGGACAUUAGGGCUCAUAAUUGGAAUUAAAACUAAAAAUAAAAGAAAAGCCAAGAAGAUAGAAACACUAGAUGGACAUUAGAGCUCAAAUUGAAAAAUUAAGGAAAAAAAAUAAAGGUGAGAAAGAAGAAAAACAACAUCUUAUAUACAGACAUUCCUUCCCAUUAUUUCUGGAAAUUCAAAUGGCAUUGCCCACUCUUCUAUUGAGAUCCCCCUUCUUUUCUUUUCAUUUUCCCCUCCUCCUCCUCCUCAACCUCUUCCUCUGCAGAAUCAAGAGCUAUUGAUGGGUUACAAUGAGUAUGAGAGUCUGUCCUGGGGAAUAAAGGUCCUGCCUAUAGCCUGCUACCUGAAAAAGGGAAAAAAAACCUCCUUUUCAUAAGUUAAGUGGUUGUAUUGGUUCUUUUUUGGUUUGAGCAUCUAGUCCUACUCAGUAGAUGUGGCCGGUCAAUGUCUUAAAAUCAGAAAUAAAUUGGACUAGAAUGGGCAUGUAAUUUUUUUUAAGUUAUCUUUUUAAUUGGAG